rnacentral:rRNA from 1 species
GAUGAACGCUGGCGGCGUGCCUAAUACAUGCAAGUCGAGCGAACAGAUAAGGAGCUUGCUCCUUUGACGUUAGCGGCGGACGGGUGAGUAACACGUGGGUAACCUACCUAUAAGACUGGGAUAACUUCGGGAAACCGGAGCUAAUACCGGAUAACAUUUGAAACCGCAUGGUUCUAAAGUGAAAGAUGGUUUUGCUAUCACUUAUAGAUGGACCCGCGCCGUAUUAGCUAGUUGGUAAGGUAACGGCUUACCAAGGCGACGAUACGUAGCCGACCUGAGAGGGUGAUCGGCCACACUGGAACUGAGACACGGUCCAGACUCCUACGGGAGGCAGCAGUAGGGAAUCUUCCGCAAUGGGCGAAAGCCUGACGGAGCAACGCCGCGUGAGUGAUGAAGGGUUUCGGCUCGUAAAACUCUGUUAUUAGGGAAGAACAAACGUGUAAGUAACUGUGCACGUCUUGACGUUACCUAAUCAGAAAGCCACGGCUAACUACGUG